UCUCCCUGCCUUUCAGGCAUCCUCUCCCAAAACUUCCAAGGCCCGGUCGGUUUCGAUCGGGCCUUUUUUUGUCUGCGC
rnacentral:sRNA from 1 species